rnacentral:misc_RNA from 1 species
AACUUUUAGCAACGGAUCUCUUGGUUCUGGCAUCGAUGAAGAACGCAGCGAAAUGCGAUAAGUAAUCUGAAUUGCAGAAUUCAGUGAAUCAUCGAAUCUUUGAACGCAGAUUGCGCCCCGUGGUAUUCCGCGGGGCAUGCCUGUUCGAGCGUCAGUACAACACUCAAGCUCUGCUUGGUCUUGGGCUGCGUCAGUUCUGACCAGCCUUAAAAUCAGUGGCGGUGCCAUCGUGCUCUAAGCGUAGUAAUACUCCUCGCUACAGGGUCCCGGUGCGUGCUAGCCAGCAACCCCCAACUUUCUAAGUUUGACCUCGGAUCAGGUAGGGAUACCCGCUGAACUUAAGCAUAUCAAUAAGCGGAGGCU